AAUAGAAAUUUAAAGUUAUAUAAUAAUUGAAAAUGGUUUAUAGAAAAAAUUGUGCAUGUAACAAAAACCGAAAAAACUGAAAAAACCGAAAAGAUUAUUCAAGAUUUAAUAAAUAAAAGAGACAAUACAUCUAUUUCUGUGAAGAUAGUCAUUUUAUCAAUGAUAUUCAUUUGUUGGCUAAUCUAAUUCCACCGAAGGGAAGAGUUUUUAUUCAAACUGACUCUGGUCGCAAACAUUGGAAAUUUUCUACAAUAGAGAGUAUUGAAGCAAUUAUUGUACAUUGCAAGUUACCAGGUGAUGUGGAACGCAUAAUUAAACAGCAGA